UACGUAGGGUGCGAGCGUUAAUCGGAAUUACUGGGCGUAAAGCGUGCGCAUGCGGCUUUGCAAGACAGAUGUUAAAUCCCCGGGCUCAACCUGGGAACUGCAUUUGUGACUGCAAGGCUAGAGUACGGCAGAGGGGGAUGGAAUUCCGCGUGUAGCAGUGAAAUGCGUAGAUAUGCGGAGGAACACCAAUGGCGAAGGCAAUCCCCUGGGCCUGUACUGACGCUCAUGCACGAAAGCGUGGGGAGCAAACAGG
rnacentral:rRNA from 1 species